GCCCGCGUGGCUCAGUGGUAGAGCGUAUCACUAGUAUUGACUCAAGUCUUCUAUGAUAAGGUCCUCGGUUCAACGCCGAGUGUGGGCA